AUUGAACGCUGGCGGCAUGCCUUACACAUGCAAGUCGAACGGCAGCACGGGAGCAAUCCUGGUGGCGAGUGGCGAACGGGUGAGUAAUACAUCGGAACGUGCCCAGUAGUGGGGGAUAACCCGGCGAAAGCCGGACUAAUACCGCAUACGACCUACGGGUGAAAGCGGGGGAUCGCAAGACCUCGCGCUAUCGGAGCGGCCGAUGUCAGAUUAGCUAGUUGGUGGGGUAAAGGCCUACCAAGGCGACGAUCUGUAGCUGGUCUGAGAGGACGACCAGCCACACUGGGACGGAGACACGGCCCAGACUCCUACGGGAGGCAGCAGUGGGGAAUUUUGGACAAUGGGCGCAAGCCUGAUCCAGCCAUGCCGCGUGCGGGAAGAAGGCCUUCGGGUUGUAAACCGCUUUUGUCAGGGAAGAAACGCUCCGGGCUAAUACCACGGAGUAAUGACGGUACCUGAAGAAUAAGCACCGGCUAACUACGUG
rnacentral:rRNA from 1 species